rnacentral:rRNA from 1 species
UACGUAGGUCCCGAGCGUUGUCCGGAUUUAUUGGGCGUAAAGCGAGCGCAGGCGGUUUGAUAAGUCUGAUGUAAAAGGCAGUGGCUCAACCAUUGUGUGCAUUGGAAACUGUUAGACUUGAGUGCAGUAGAGGAGAGUGGAAUUCCAUGUGUAGCGGUGAAAUGCGUAGAUAUUGGAAGGAAUACCGGUGGCGAAGGCGGCCACCUGGUCAGAAACUGACACUGAGGCUCGAAAGCGUGGGUAGCAAACAGG